GACAUAGGUGGCGAACGUUAUCCGGAAUUAUUGGGCGUAAAGGAUGCGUAGAUGGUAGAAUAAGUUACUGGUCGAUGCCAAACUCAAUUUGGCGGAAGCCGAUAAUACUGUUCUACUCGAGGGCAGGAGAGGUUGUUGGAAUUCUGUGUGGAGCGGUGAAAUGCAUUGAGAUCGGAAAGAACACCAACGGCGAAAGCACUCUGCUGGGCCGACACUGACACUGAGAGACGAAAGCUAGGGGAGCAAAUGGG
rnacentral:rRNA from 1 species